AUUGAACGCUGGCGGCGUGCUUAACACAUGCAAGUCGAGCGGAAAGGCCACUUCGGUGGUACUCGAGCGGCGAACGGGUGAGUAACACGUGAGUAAUCUGCCCUUGGCUUUGGGAUAGCCACCGGAAACGGUGAUUAAUACCGGAUAUGACCACUACACGCAUGUGUUGGUGGUGGAAAGUUUUUCGGCCAGGGAUGUGCUCGCGGCCUAUCAGCUUGAUGGUGAGGUAAUGGCUCACCAUGGCUUCGACGGGUAGCCGGCCUGAGAGGGUGAACGGUCACACUGGGACUGAGACACGGCCCAGAAUCCUACGGGAGGCAGCAGUGGGGAAUAUUGGACAAUGGGCGGAAGCCUGAUCCAGCAGCGCCGCGUGAGGGAUGACGGCCUUCGGGUUGUAAACCUCUUUCAGCAGGGACGAAGCGUGAGUGACGGUACCUGCAAAAGAAGCACCGGCCAACUACGUGCCAGCCGCCGCCGUAA
rnacentral:rRNA from 1 species